GACGAACGCUGGCGGCGUGCCUAAUACAUGCAAGUCGAGCGCAGGAAGCCGUCUGAACCCUUCGGGGGGACGACGGUGGAAUGAGCGGCGGACGGGUGAGUAACACGUAAAGAACCUGCCCAUAGGUCUGGGAUAACCACGAGAAAUCGGGGCUAAUACCGGAUGUGUCAUCGGACCGCAUGGUCCGCUGAUGAAAGGCGCUCCGGCGUCGCCCAUGGAUGGCUUUGCGGUGCAUUAGCUAGUUGGUGGGGUAACGGCCCACCAAGGCGACGAUGCAUAGCCGACGUGAGAGGGUGAGCGGCCACACUGGGACUGAGACACGGCCCAGACUCCUGCGGGAGGCAGCAGUAGGGAAUCUUCCACAAUGGACGAAAGUCUGAUGGAGCAACGCCGCGUGAACGAUGAAGGCUUUCGGGUCGUAAAGUUCUGUUGUAAGGGAAGAACAAGUGCCGCAGGCAAUGGCGGCACCUUGACGGUACCUUGCGAGAAAGCCACGGCUAACUACGUGCCAGCCGCCGCGGUAA
rnacentral:rRNA from 1 species